UACGUAGGGGGCAAGCGUUGUCCGGAUUUAUUGGGCGUAAAGAGCGUGUAGGCGGCCAGAUAGGUCGGUUGUGAAAACUGGAGGCUCAACCUCCAGACGUCGACCGAAACCAUCUGGCUAGAGUCCGGAAGAGGAGAGUGGAAUUCCUGGUGUAGCGGUGAAAUGCGCAGAUAUCAGGAAGAACACCCGUGGCGAAGGCGGCUCUCUGGGACGGUACUGACGCUGAGACGCGGAAGCGUGGGGAGCGAACAGG
rnacentral:rRNA from 1 species